rnacentral:tRNA from 1 species
GCCUGGCUGACUCAGUCAGAAGAGUAUGAGACUCUUGAUCCUGGGGGUCAUGGGUUCAAGCCCCAUGUUGAGUG